CUUCUCUCAGAUUUCUUCUCUCACAUAAAACUGUUAUCCAAAAUUAAUUUUUUUUCGAACAUCCCAGAACACCAUCAGUCUCACCAAUUCAACAUACAAUUUUGAGUUGCAUGACAAGAAGAGGUUGUUGCACCUUUUUUGGUGUUAUAUCAAACCUAAUUUCAUGUUGUUCACAAAUGGUGCCAUUUCAAUGACCUGAAGUGGAUUGGCUUUGCGUCUUAAAUAGUUUUGUAUCUAAGUUGUUCCUCCUGCUGAGUAUCUAAAUUGUCUUGCUGCACUUAUUCAAGCCAUGAUGUUGACGCUGAAAUAGCUACCCAAAUAGAGAGCAAAAUGGCAUCACGAGUGACCUGCACAAUCCGUUUCCUGACAUUUGCAACCUUUCUGAUGCACAUGUGUUUGGUUUCUUAAAAAAAGACACCAACAUCUAGGUGCUUCAGAGGUCCGGUGGGCAAUAAAGCCGAAUGCGCGAGAUCACAAUUGAAAAUCUCAGUUGUGCUAGAUUCAUGGAUGCAGUGAGAUAUGUCCACAGUUGCACCUUUAACACCCCUAAUCGCACGAAGAAAGUGAUGAAAACUGUUCCAUACAAAUGGCAAUCCACAGUCCCUGUUACAUUUAUGCACAACUACAUCUAUCAAACCAGCAAUCACAGGAAGAUUGUACGAAAUAGUGUGACCGGCCCGGAAUUUGGAAUACCAUCCUCAACUACAUCCUCAACUACAGGUGAGUUUGUAACAAAGCUAAUUCAGUUAAACAAAGAGAAAAUGCAAAAACAAAGAUGGGAGGCAUCCAUGCAAGUAGAAAAUAUUCGCACAUCAAAAACGAAAGGAACGAAAACAAGGAAGAAUACAUCAAAGGCCAAAAAAAGUGUGGUGCAGCGAACAACAACUAAUGGUUUGUUCUUGGACACAAAUUAUCCAUGUUUAUCUAUAUAUGGCGAGAUGGAUCGUGACUUAGAUUACGCGGUAAGAAAAUCCAAUAAUCAUAUUUUUAGAUGUCUACCAUUUUAGCUUUCUGACUGUCAUAUUAACGGAAACUCUCGAUUUCACAAGAUUAAACAUUUAGUAAGGAAUGGUGUUCUGAUUGACUUCCAUGCCGAUUGAGGAUCGGCUGAUUGUGACUGAUUUGGGGAAGGAAAAAUACCUUGCUACUCCCGAGAAAGACCGGCAAAUGGAAGACAAAAUUUAUCUUAGUUUGCACUAUGGGCCUCAAUGGAAACAAAAACAUAAGAUUGUUGUACGUGUUCCUCAUUGGCGACACAUGCUCCUCAUAAACACUUUUACAUUCUCAAACGUGGUAAAGAAAAUGUACCCUACAAAUGGAAAGACGUCAAUUUCCCAUAUAUGCAACGACUAUUAAUAAAUCACAGGGACAAUCGGUGAAGUAUGUGGGCAUUGAUUUACGUACUCCAGUUUUUAGCCAUGGUCAGCUAUAUGUCGCAUUGUCUAGGUGUAGUGCUGCAAGGAGAAUUACUUUAUUGUUGACCAAUGAAUCAAAGAAAGGCCGGGAUGGAGUCUUGGAAAGACAAAUAGUGGUGGUGAUUUUGUAGUCCAACAAAGGGAAGGUUUCCUCCGUCCGUUUACAUAGGUAUAGACGGGAUGGAGUCUAGAAAAUUGAAAACCGCUCAGUCCAGAUUGAACGGACGCAAAGCAACCUCCUUUUGUUUCGCCCCAUUUUGCUUAGGUGUCUUUUAUACCAGUUGUUCUAAUAACUUCCCAAGAUAUGCCAAAACUGAAAAUCGUUACGCUAUUAGUCUAAACGGCAAAGAAAAUAAGGAUUACGUUAUCUUAAAACUCAAGUUUCAGUUUGUGAAUCCGAAUAAAUUUCAUUUUCAUACAUUAUCAUCGGAUAUCGUGAAUGUAAAAAAAUAUCGGAUCGUCAUCAAAAUCGAAGUUUAAGAGAGGCGAUUCAAUCAUUUUUUCGUUCAGAUUGUUUGUUUCUCAUAGUUUCGGUUAGGAUCUGUAAGUAGUUUCUAUCAUUUUAUCUGUUAUUAUUUUCUUUUCUUUUUUAAUAAUUAUGAGAUACUGGAUCGUUUUGUAUUUGUCGAAUCUUUGAUUCGAUUGUUUUGAAAUGGAAGGGAGAAUCCACAUGA